CUCAGGCACCUUUCUGGGACCAGGGCCGGGAGCAGACAUGGGGCAGAGUGAGUCCGAGCCCCAGGAUGAGCAGGAGGAUGCAGCGCUCACAGCCGUGGUGCCCAACCUUAAGCUCUUUGUGGAAGAUCGGCUCCAGACCAGCAUGGUGCUGGGUGUCAUGAUUGGCGUUGGAGUUUCCAUGUUGCUCAUCGCCACCUUGACCCUGGUGCUGGUCCGUAGGCUGCGCCACA